rnacentral:lncRNA from 1 species
CCGACAAACACCUCCAGCUCCGCCGAUGUCGGCGGCAAAACCCACACAAACCCCGCCGACAGCUGCCAUCUGCACUCUUCAGGGGUCCCUCCUAACUCUAGCCAUUGUCACUCUUCUCUCAUUCACUUGUCUCUCUAUCAAAUCCCUCAAUUCCCCUUCUAUCUCAUCAUCUACACCACCUUCCACCACUCUUUUCGCCCCUCAGGUACAUAUUUCUACUCACUCUUCCCAUCCCGUUGAUAAAAAUCCUCUGAAUCGAAUACCCUUUUCACAAAUUCUAAUCUUUUGAUGAUUCCGCAGGUGCGUGUUGUAGAUAAAGAUGGAAUCAAUCAAGCAGAGAGGGUAGAGGGGGAAGAUGAAGUGUCGUCCGAUGUAUUUCAUUCGCCAGAGGUAUUUCGGUUGAAUUAUGCGGAAAUGGAAAGGAAGUUUAAGGUGUACAUUUACCGGGAUGGUGAUCCCAAAACUUAUUAUCAGACGCCGAGGAAGCUGACCGGGAAGUAUGCAAGUGAGGGCUACUUUUUUCAGAAUAUUAGGGAGAGUAGAUUCAUUACCGAUGAUCCGGAUAAGGCUGACUUGUUUUUCAUCCCAAUCUCUUGUCAUAAGAUGAGAGGACUGGUAUAGUUUGCUUAAGUUUGAUUAGUUGAAGUGCAUUGAUAUGGAUGCUGAUGUUUUUUGCUUUCUUGGUUCAGUUGAUUUUAACUUUUUCGAUGAAUGAAGAGAAGAUGAUGUAGUUGAGUGAUAAUAUCCAAGGACUGGUUUUGAUUUGCAAGAGUGUGUUGCCAUGUAAGGUUUUCGACUGACAGGGGGCACUUGGCAGGAAAAUGGCCCUGGAAAGAAUGAAAUAUAAAUGACUUAUUUGAUAGUAUUAUUUUGGGUACAUUUACUUGAUUUCUUAAGGUGAAAGGGUCUUUGCAUACACAGACACCCUGAGAUGGAAUUGAAAAAGUCUUGUUGAUAUAGACUAUUUAGCAGUUGGAUUUAGUAGUAGCAUUUGUUUGUACCUGAAUUAGUCUUCAAGUUCAUGAUCUUACAUGAUACUCUAUCUUGCCCCGUUGUGCGUAAGGUAUUGUGGACAUGUAAGCUUGCAUAAUCUGAAUCUUGAAAGGUGUACCCGUUUACAAUACAAAGCAAUUACUUUGACAUUCAGCUAUCUGUCUGGUCCUUCUGUAUAUCUUAAACCUAAAGUAAGGAGAUUAAAAGUUGGAUUGCAUAAGCAAGUCCAUGUAGCUUGUGGCUUCCUUUGCCUACUGGUUCAUAUUAAACUCAACUGGAAGUUUCUUUUUAGUUUUUUAUUGGACAGUAUUGUAUUAAUGCUGCAAUUUUGUUGCCAGCCACUUCUAAGGUGAUUAGAAUUAUCAUGUAAGCCUUGAUAUAUGAGAUGCUUGUACAUAAUAUAUCUACUUUCUGCAAAUGUUGUUAUGCUUUCCAACUCCUUCCAGUAUGAUAGGGUAGAUGUCUAAACUAUUGUUCCAGUAAAUCAAAUCAAUAUUCUUUCCCAAGAUGUCCUUGGAUUUUGUGACAUAGCUUGAUGAUUUCAUGAUGACUUUUCAGGCUACCUCAUAUGAAAACAUGACCGUGAUUGUGAAGGAGUAUGUUGAGAGUUUAAUAGCCAAGUACCCUUAUUGGAAUAGGACCCUGGGUGCAGAUCACUUCUUCGUAGUUUGUCAAGAUGUUGGAGUCAGGGCAACAGAAGGACUUCCUUUUCUUGUGAAGAACUCAAUACGGGUUGCAUGCUCCCCAAGCUAUGAUGUUGGGUUUAUUCCACACAAAGAUGUUGCUCUUCCCCAAGUGCUGCAGCCUUUUGCCCUUCCAAGGGGAGGAAAUGAUGUUGAAAACAGGUAGCAGUGUCUUGGUUUCAACUUGGUUGUGUAAUUUAUGUAUUGAUUUUAUGCUUCCUGGUUAGAUGAGAUUUAUUGUUUGAACGUAUACUGGGUUUUUCGUAUAUCUCACUUAUUAUUAUGAUUAUUAUUUCGGGUACAAGCUUCUGCUUUCAUCUCAGAAGUGCAAAUUUUAGUGGUCAGGCAUAUUUUCUUGUUUGUCAUUUACCGGGACUUAACUGGGUUGCUUGCUUAUUUAUUUUUUUGGGUUAUACUUGCACUGCAAUCCCACAGUAAGUACAUUAACUCAGAAUGCAACUUGAAAAGUACCUUGGGCUAGUUUUAAUCUAAUACAGGAAAGCAACCUUUACUCUGC